rnacentral:rRNA from 1 species
AGCAGCCGCGGUAAUUCCAGCUCCAAUAGCCUAUAUUAAAGUUGUUGCAGUUAAAAAGCUCGUAGUUGAAUUUCGGGAUCAAUAUAUUGGUCGUGCCUCCGGUAUCUCCUAGUAUCAUUGAUUUCUACCUUCUGACGAACUAUGAUGUCAUUAAUUUGGUGUCAUGGGGAAUCAGGACUGUUACUUUGAAAAAAUUAGAGUAUUUAAAGCAGGCACACGCUUGAAUACAUUAGCAUGGAAUAAUGAAAUAGGACGUUUGACCCUAUUUUGUUGGUUUCUAGGAUCGACGUAAUGAUUAAUAGGGAUAGUUGGGGGCAUUAGUAUUCAAUUGUCAGAGGUGAAAUUCUUGGAUUUAUUGAAGACUAACUACUGCGAAAGCAUUUGCCAAGGAUAUUUUCAUUAAUCAAGAACGAAAGUUAGGGGAUCGAAGACGAUCAGAUACCGUCGUAGUCUUAACCAUAAACUAUGCCGACUAGGGAUCGGAUGAUGUUAAUUUUUUAAUGACUCA